AAUGCAGAGAGAACAGAGUGCAACCAUUAGUCUUUUCUGUACUGAUCAUAGCUAUCAAUAUGCUCAGACUGGUCCACCGGGACUCCAGAAUCAACAGAUUGGCAUCCCUGUAUAUAAGAUACAGGCGCUGUGCCACCAAAAACCACCUUCUCCAGUGAGGCGCACACUCUACAACCUCAGGCUGUCACUGUAGCGGGGCCAGUUGCCUCCCUCCAUGGGCCCUCCUCCUGAAUGCUGAAGAUGAAUGGGAUUAAGCCAACGCUGUUUACACAUAUGGAAAACACUUGGAGUUUUUUAUUAACACUGGGGGAGCUGGAGGUGUGGAUGAAACAGAAGGACAAGAUGAGGGGACUUUGCCAAGGCAAGACUCAAGCAAGAACCAUCUUCUCAAAGGUGCUCCGUAGUUGGAAUGGAAGCAAGGGGCCUUCUGAUGGUCUCCAGGACUGUCAUGCCCUGGCCAUUAAAAACUGAUUGGCGGAAUUUGUAUGGAUUCAGGAGCAUUACAGUUUAUAUUACAAACAAUCAAAAGCUUGUAGAUUCAAGUUCCCUAAGGGAAUUUAAAAAUGUCAAAAGUUGAAUAAAGUAUUUAAAAA